UACGUAGGGGGCAAGCGUUGUCCGGAAUUAUUGGGCGUAAAGAGCGUGUAGGCGGUCCGGUAAGUCCGCUGUGAAAGUCGGGGGCUCAACCCUCGAAUGCCGGUGGAUACUGUCGGGCUAGAGUGCGGAAGAGGCGAGUGGAAUUCCUGGUGUAGCGGUGAAAUGCGCAGAUAUCAGGAGGAACACCAAUUGCGAAGGCAGCUCGCUGGGACGUUACUGACGCUGAGACGCGAAAGCGUGGGGAGCGAACAGG
rnacentral:rRNA from 1 species